CAGUUGCCACGGUAAUACGUAGGGUGCAAGCGUUAUCCGGAAUUAUUGGGCGUAAAGAGCUCGUAGGCGGUUUGUCGCGUCUGCUGUGAAAACUGGAGGCUCAACCUCCAGCCUGCAGUGGGUACGGGCAGACUAGAGUGCGGUAGGGGAGAUUGGAAUUCCUGGUGUAGCGGUGGAAUGCGCAGAUAUCAGGAGGAACACCGAUGGCGAAGGCAGAUCUCUGGGCCGUAACUGACGCUGAGGAGCGAAAGCGUGGGGAGCGAACAGGAUUAGAUACCCGUGUAGUCCCUGUCUCUUAUAC
rnacentral:rRNA from 1 species